rnacentral:lncRNA from 1 species
CCGAAAGGUUCUGGUAACUCUCGAUUUGGUGGAGACGAGACACAAAUCGAUCCGGCUUCCGAACAACACGAUCUGAAAGCCUACAAUUUUUUUUAUUUUUUUGAUAUUUUUCUUUGAGUUCGGAGCACCAAAGGAGCAACCACAGAAAAUUUGAGCUUAAACAUGUGAAAGACAUGGCCUGUGGAAUUUUCUGAAGAUUGUGGAAAAUGUGAAAAAACUUCGCGAGGUGAAAACUCAGACUUCGGAGGUGAAUUUGGAGGUUUUAAAGUUUUCAAACCCCCCAAUGGAGGGGACACACAGAUCCAAAAAAUUUUUCUAAUCGAUUUUGAUAUAUGGAACAUUGAAAUCGGAGUUCGUAUGCGAAAGUUAUGGUUAUUUUACGAACGGACUCCGAAUUAGAGGACAAAACGGUCCGAAAGUGAGAAUAAUUUGCGGUGGUGGCUAGAAAUUGAUGGAAACAGUGGGG